rnacentral:tRNA from 1 species
GGACCCGUAGUGUAGCCUGGAUAGGAUGGGGGCCUCCGGAGCCUCGGACCCGGGUUCGAAUCCCGGCGGGUCCG